rnacentral:rRNA from 1 species
UAUCACUAAGCGGAGGAAAAGAAACCAACCGGGAUUCCCUCAGUAGCGGCGAGCGAAGCGGGAAGAGCCCAUCGCCGAAUCCCCCGUCGGACCACGGCGGUUAGGGACCUGUGGCGUAAGGGUCCUACUCGUCGGGCGUCUGACCGUCCGAACAAGUCCCGCGGGACAGGUGUGCUCCCAGAGUGGGUGUGAGGCCUUUAGUUCGGUCUGGGUCUUCUGUCCGGCGCAGUCGGUACCCGAGAGUCGAGUUGCUUGGGAUCGCAGCUCAAAGCGGGUGGUAAGCUCC